CUGUACUUCCGGUAGUCGUAGUCGAGCCUCUGCCGCCUGCCCUGCGAAAGCGAGGCCGCGCGGCGGGGGUGGGAUUUCGUCUACCGCGUCUUCAACUCGCCGCAGAGGACACCACACCCGUGGUGGCCAACACGGUCGAGGCGAAGUAACCCUUGCCUAUGAGUACCUUUUCGUUCCCUCGGCGGGCUCGCGCUCGCCGCUGGGCCCAUCCAUACCCCUUUGCAGUAGUCGUAUACCUCUGAUCGUGGGCACUUGAAUCUUUA
rnacentral:misc_RNA from 1 species